GUGCCAGCCGCCGCGGUAAUACGUAGGGUGCAAGCGUUGUCCGGAAUUAUUGGGCGUAAAGAGCUCGUAGGCGGUUUGUCGCGUCUGCUGUGAAAACCCGAGGCUCAACCUCGGGCCUGCAGUGGGUACGGGCAGACUAGAGUGCGGUAGGGGAGAUUGGAAUUCCUGGUGUAGCGGUGGAAUGCGCAGAUAUCAGGAGGAACACCGAUGGCGAAGGCAGAUCUCUGGGCCGUAACUGACGCUGAGGAGCGAAAGCAUGGGGAGCGAACAGGAUUAGAUACCCUGGUAGUCCAUGCCGUAAACGUUGGGAACUAGAUGUGGGGACCAUUCCACGGUCUCCGUGUCGCAGCUAACGCAUUAAGUUCCCCGCCUGGGGAGUACGGCCGCAAGGCUAAAACUCAAAGGAAUUGACGGGGCCCGCACAAGCGGCGGAGCAUGCGGAUUAAUUCGAUGCAACGCGAAGAACCUACCAAGGCUUGACAUAUAACGAGAACGCUACUAGAAAUAGAG
rnacentral:rRNA from 1 species